rnacentral:lncRNA from 1 species
UGCAUUUGUGAAUAGAGAGCAGUGGUUCACCUACCUGGCCAAAAAAGGCAGAAAUGGCAGCACAUCAGGAAUUCCCAGGGGGUGGAGAGGGAGAGCCUUUCCCUGUGUGAGGUGUGUGCUCCUGCCUGGCCAGCGCGAUCUGCUCUGGCCCCAGGGUGAUGAAGUUGUGUGACUGUCACCACACAGUUUGUCAAGGAGAUGCACAUGGAGUGACAAACACUCUGGGGGAGUAUUUGCAGUGAGUCAGCGGGUGCUGGUAUGAUAAAACAGUGCUGUAGUUAAAGUGAGUUUUUUUUAAAAAAUAAAUUUAUGAUGAGCAGAGAAAAAGUCCAGAGCCAUCAGAGAAACAAUUUGUUAUGUUUGACUACUAAUGAAAAAAUGUGGGUUUAUUAAGCUAUUAAAGUGUUUUCAUUUUAAGAACGUGUGAAUUCACUGGGACUCUCUGUUUUCCCCAGGUUUGCUGAGAGGAAACUGAUAAGGGAGUUUUGAAAUAAAGAUAGAAGGAGUCACUGAUAAGCCAGCUAAAUCUCCUUAAAAGCUGAGACAGUGUAUGGAAAGGAGUGGAAGAAAGGGAAGACAUGGACAUGAAGAAACACUGGCUUAGACUGAAGUUCCUGAAGUCAAAGUAGUAAUGGCAAGCAUUUUAUAGGUCCUGAGAGUAUCUGCCCCAUAAAACCUCUUCUUCCAGCUCAAACCAAACACCAGAAAAUCACAUCUGAGCAAGUGGGCAAUAGUUUUGCCCUUCUUAGCAAAAUCACAGCUUCUCAAGAAGGAAAGUUUCACCUAGGAUCUGCUUGCUGAGGAAAAGGAUCCAAGCCUUGUGUGAAUGUGUCUGAAGGAAUUGCUCCUGGCCUCAUUUGGUGCCAGUGGAUCCACAAAUGUUUACAGCAGAAGAUUCCUGUGUGCCCAUUCC